UUCUGUUCCUGCGUUAGUUUGCUAAGGAUAAUGGCCAUUAUCUUAGCCAUUUGAAAAUAAUGAUUUAACCUCUCUCACCUUCAUUGUCAUUUUAGAAGAAACUACCAUUUGGUGUCCUGCUGAGACAAGAAAAUAUUUUCACAACUCAAGACAAGUUAAAUAUCCACUUAUGGGAACAGUGCUGAAGGCCUGGACUAGGAUGGUAGCAAUGGAGACAGACUAAAGAAAGAGAUGCAAUCAUUCCCUUGCAUAUGGUCCGUAUGAAGACGGGAUCAUUACAGGAAAGGUGAAGGAGAUACAGUCAUUAUGCUCUAUAUACACCCAUUUUUAUGGCUAGCGGCUGAAGAUGGGAUGCUUUCUUUGCUGGAAGACCUAUUACCUGUUAGGUUGCAAAAGAUGUGAUCAUCUUCCUAAACAAUAAUUUAGAGUCCCAUAACAAUUUUAAGUGUGCUGUUCAUGAAAAUUUGAAUACAUUGUAUUGGGAAUAUAAUGGAAGUGAGAUGCCUCAUGUCGUGAGAAAAUCUGACAUAAACUCCUUAAGCAUGAGAGGCCAUGUGGGUAUGGAAGCCCUGAAAGGGAGGAAAAAACAGCCAGACCCUAGCUGUUCCAGUCAUCCCAACUGAGGUGCCAGACUUGUGAUUGAGGCCAUCUUGCAUCAUCUAGGCCUAGUAGAGCUGCCAACUGACUGCAGACACAUGAGUCAAUCCAGCUAAUGCCACAUGGAGCAGAGACAAGCCGCCCAGCUGAGCCCAGUCCAGAUGACAGAAUCAUGAGCAAAUAAGGUUCCAUAUGGAGAGGACUGAUGAAGCCAGCAUUAGGCGUGAUGGGGACGUGCAUAAAUGUGUAUGUUAUCCACUGAGACACAGAUUCUGAAGCACCAGAACAUUAAAGGCACUUCUACUUGUUUCUUCUACCCAGCUGAAAGGACAGAAAGCUUCUUCCACAGAGCCAGGACAGUCCAGGGGAACGUAGUCCUUCGACUGAAAGCUAUGCUUCCUAUUUUCUAACAAAGAGGCUAGGUCAUGUUGACCACCCAGUUUUGGCCUGCCUGGCUUGCUUUUUAUUCCAGCCUGGAGGACUUUCAGGGUUGAAUAUCCACUCAAGCCAAAUCCCAAGAAGCAUAACCUGCUAUUAGACUCUUGUCACUUAUCGGGUGAGGGGCUGUGCGGCUGUUCCAGUGCUUCCCCACUUGGGUCUUGUGACAUACCCUGGGGCCAAGCCAAGCCCUGGAGGUUAGCUUCUACAGUCUGUCCUUAAAGAGAGCUCAGGGAUGUCUGGACAGGACCUGGAGACAGUGCCCUGGGCCAGAGACCUCUGAUCUCUAGGCCAGCAGAGUCACCAUGCAGACAGAUUUAUGAGCCUUAGGCAAAACAGCUGGCAUUCCUGUGGCCAUCUUUCUACCCCUUCCUUUCCACAUGACCAUAUCCUUGGCCAGAUCUUCAUGUCCUUAGAUGGCUGUUGCCUUUGGGUAAAUUGGCAAUUAAGAUAAAUGAGCAUAUUUAUCAUGGCCUUGUGGUUACCCCUCCUGAAGCUCUCAGGGUGGCAAGCUGCCUGACCCUCCUACUAUGAACUUAGUAACUUUAAAACAGAGAGUAUCUUUUCUUGCCCAGCUGAAAUUUCCUCCCCAGGCGACCUACUUUUAGGAUUAAUAUGCGGGAAAGUCUGCAGUUUUGUUUUCAGUGAGGGUAGUUGUGUUUUCAAGGAAAGAGGUAGCGCCUUACAGUCAGAUUAGCCAGCUUUAUUUCUUUCAUCAACCCUUUACUGGCUUUCUAAAUUUUUUCAAGUAACUUCACCUCUCUGAGUUUCAUUUACCUCAUUACCUUCAUCAGGUAAGAUGACAUAUGAAAAGCCCUUCUCAAGCAACUGCAAAGUUCCAAUUAAUAGAAGAAAUUGUAAUGACUAUCUGUGUUUGAAGCGGGGCCAUUUUUCUUAUUUGGAAUUUUCACGUAUUAAAAAUAUGGAUCCUUUACACCUGUA
ensembl:lncRNA LINC01370 long intergenic non-protein coding RNA 1370